rnacentral:rRNA from 1 species
AUGCUUAAGUUUGUUCUGGUAAGGAUGGAUCUCGGUGCAGCCCAGGCUUUGGUAUUUGCAUGGAAGCUGAAUCGAUUCGGCCACCUUCUCAAGAGCCAAGCAUCUGAUAUUUCCCAGCUCCUGGCGGCAAGUGGGGCAAUGGUUGUCUACCCUAUGCUUACAGCUGGAGCAAAUUGUGUGGCCAUUUGGGCACUGCAGGAAGAAUAUGAAUCGUCAAUAGAUUAUCAUAAAAUCAUAAUGGACAAAACUUGUUCUACUAACUACCAUAGUUCUCAUCCAAUUAGCUUGAUAUUAUUUUGA